rnacentral:rRNA from 1 species
CCUACGGGAGGCAGCAGUGGGGAAUAUUGGACAAUGGGCGAAAGCCUGAUCCAGCAAUGCCGCGUGAGUGAUGAAGGCCUUCGGGUCGUAAAGCUCUUUUACCAGGGAUGAUAAUGACAGUACCUGGAGAAUAAGCUCCGGCUAACUCCGUGCCAGCAGCCGCGGUAAUACGGAGGGAGCUAGCGUUGUUCGGAAUUACUGGGCGUAAAGAGUACGUAGGCGGUUAUUCAAGUCAGAGGUGAAAGCCCGGGGCUCAACCCCGGAACUGCCUUUGAAACUAGAUAACUAGAGUCUUGGAGAGGUUAGUGGAAUUCCGAGUGUAGAGGUGAAAUUCGUAGAUAUUCGGAAGAACACCAGUGGCGAAGGCGACUAACUGGACAAGUACUGACGCUGAGGUACGAAAGCGUGGGGAGCAAACAGGAUUAGAUACCCUGGUAGUCCACGCCGUAAACGAUGAUAACUAGUUGUUCGGUCACUUGGUGACUGAGUGACGCAGCUAACGCAUUAAGUUAUCCGCCUGGGGAGUACGGUCGCAAGAUUAAAACUCAAAAUGAUAGAG